rnacentral:rRNA from 1 species
GACGUAGGGCGCGAGCGUUGUCCGGAUUUAUUGGGCGUAAAGAGCUCGUAGGCGGCUUGUCACGUCGGGUGUGAAAGCCCGGGGCUUAACCCCGGGUCUGCAUUCGAUACGGGCUGGCUGGAGUGUGGUAGGGGAGAUCGGAAUUCCCGGUGUAGCGGUGAAAUGCGCAGAUAUCGGGAAGAACACCCGUGGCGAAGGCGGCUCUCUGGGACGGUACUGACGCUGAGACGCGAAAGCGUGGGGAGCGAACAGG